rnacentral:rRNA from 1 species
AACGUAGGAGGCGAGCGUUAUCCGGAUUUACUGGGUGUAAAGCGCGUGCAGGCGGUUCGGUAAGUUGGGUGUGAAAGCUCCUGGCUCACUGGGAGAGGUCGCUCAAAACUGGCGAACUGGAGAGUGGUAGGGGAAGGUGGAAUUCCGGGUGUAGUGGUGAAAUGCGUAGAGAUGUGGAGGAACACCAGUGGCGAAGGCGGCUUUCUCGGU